GAAUAGAUAAAUGAUGAUAACUUCACCUUGAACUCUCUCUCUGAUAAUGUGAUGGAGAAUCUAGGGUCUGAUCUCUUC